AUUGAACGCUGGCGGCAGGCCUAACACAUGCAAGUCGAGCGGAUGAAGGGAGCUUGCUCCUGGAUUCAGCGGCGGACGGGAGAGUAAUGCCAAGGACUCUGCCUGGUAGUGGGGGAUCACGUCCGGAAACGGGCGCUAAUACCGCAUACGUACUGAGGGAGAAAGUGAGGGAUCCUCGGACCUCCCGCUAUCUGAUGAGCCUAGGUCGGAUUCGCUAGUUGGCGGGGUAAAGGACUACCAAGGCGACGAUCCGUAACUGGUCCGAGAGGAUGAUCAGUCACACUGGAAGUGAGACACGGUCCAGACUCCUACUGGAGGCAGCAGUGGGGAAUAUUGGACGAUGGGCGAAAGCCUGAUCCAGCCAUGCCGCGUGUGUGAAGAAGGUCUUCGGAUUGGAAAGCACAUUGAGUUGGGGGGGAGAACAGUAAUUUAAUACCUUGCUGUUUUGACGUUACCAACAGAAUAAGCACCGGCUAACUUGGUG
rnacentral:rRNA from 1 species